rnacentral:rRNA from 1 species
GUUGAACGCUGGCGGCGUGCCUAAUACAUGCAAGUCGAGCGAACAGACGAGGAGCUUGCUCCUCUGACGUUAGCGGCGGACGGGUGAGUAACACGUGGAUAACCUACCUAUAAGACUGGGAUAACUUCGGGAAACCGGAGCUAAUACCGGAUAAUAUAUUGAACCGCAUGGUUCAAUAGUGAAAGACGGUUUUGCCGUCACUUAUAGAUGGAUCCGCGCCGCAUUAGCUAGUUGGUAAGGUAACGGCUUACCAAGGCAACGAUGCAUAGCCGACCUGAGAGGGUGAUCGGCCACACUGGAACUGAGACACGGUCCAGACUCCUACGGGAGGCAGCAGUAGGGAAUCUUCCGCAAUGGGCGAAAGCCUGACGGAGCAACGCCGCGUGAGUGAUGAAGGUCUUCGGAUCGUAAAACUCUGUUAUUAGGGAAGAACAAAUGUGUAAGUAACUAUGCACGUCUUGACGGUACCUAAUCAGAAAGCCACGGCUAACUACGUG